rnacentral:pre_miRNA from 1 species
GUCACCCGGGAAUCUUGUUAAAAUGCGGAUUCCAGUUCAGUACAGCUGGGGUGGGGCCUGAGAUUCUGCAUUUCUGGUAAGCUCCCAGGGGAUGCUGA